UGCCCACCCUCGUGCCCAUCGGCGUCCCCCUGCAUGUCAGAGGUCCACAAUGUAAGGUUAUCACGCAAUAACUGCAUGAUCAAAGUUGAAUCCUUGUAUGAUUCCUCUGACAGCGUAUCUAACUCAGCAAUGGCAUCGUCAAAGGCUUUCUUUGCCAA